rnacentral:lncRNA from 1 species
UUCUCAAAAGCUCGUUGAGGCAGCGCAAAAAAUACAUUACCUACAAAAUAAACCCUCGAUCUCUCUAGUUCCAAAGGUAUUUUGUGGAAAAAUAUUCAAAGCUAAAAAAGGAAAAAAAUUACAUACCGGACAUUUGGGAACACAAAAGGUGUUUGAUCUUGAAAUUUCUUUCUUCAAUCACACAUAAGCCUAACAUGCUCCUCAAUGCUGGUCUCGAAUUUUGAAAAUGAUUGCCCAGCACCGCACAGGCCAGAGCAAGAGAUUUGGGGACUCACAAAUCUUGUUAGGAUGUGCAUUAGAUUUGGGGACUCACAAAUCUUGUUUGGGGAAUUAGGGGAAUGACCCCAACCCAAAAAUCUCAAAAUCAGUAACAUAUUGUGAUGGAUUCUGGCUUCCAAAAGUG